AUUAAGCCAUGCAUGUCUAAGUAUAAACAAUUCUAUACUGUGAAACUGCGAAUGGCUCAUUAAAUCAGUUAUAGUUUAUUUGAUAAUUUCUUUCUACAUGGAUAACCGUGGUAAUUCUAGAGCUAAUACAUGCAUAAAAACCCGACUUCGGAAGGGUUGUAUUUAUUAGAUAAAAACCAAUGUGGGCAACCACUCCCUUGGUGAUUCACAAUAAGCAAGCAAAUCGCAUCGGCUUCGGCUAGGCGAUGAGUCAUUCAAGUUUCUGCCCUAUCAGCUGCGAUGGUACGGUAUUGGCCUACCAUGGCUUUGACGGGUGACGGAGAAUUAGGGUUCGAUUCCGGAGAGGGAGCCUGAGAAACGGCUACCACAUCCAAGGAAGGCAGCAGGCGCGUAAAUUACCCAAUCCCAACUCGGGGAGGUAGUGGCAAGAAAUACUUUGGUGGAGCCUUCGGGUUCUGCCGUGGAAUGAGCACAAUUUAAAUCCCUUAGCGAGGAUCAAUUGGAGGGCAAGUCUGGUGCCAGCAGCCGCGGUAAUUCCAGCUCCAAUAGCGUAUAUUAAAGUUGUUGCAGUUAAAAAGCUCGUAGUUGGAUUUCUUUUAUGUUAAGAGGGUUUGGGAUUGGUUAUAUCUUUUUGGUAUAAUCGUCCUUCCUCUUUCAUGAAACAUUUGUAUGUUGUUUCAACAUACAUCAUUUACUGUGAAAAAAUCAAAGCGUUCAAAGCAGGCUUUAUGCAAUGAAUGUCUCAGCAUGGAAUAAUAAUUUAAGCCAUCGUCUUAUUUUGUUGGUUUACAAGAUGAAGGAAUGUUUAAUAGGAUCAGUCGGGGAUAUCCGAACUUAGAAGUCAGAGGUGAAAUUCUUGGAUUUUCUAAAGUCGAACUACUGCGAAAGCAUUUAUCAAGGAUGUUUUCAUUAAUCAAGAACGAAAGUUUGGGGAUCGAAGAUGAUUAGAUACCAUCGUAGUCUAAACCAUAAACUAUGCCGAUUCGGGAUCGUCUUAUGAUAUACAUGUCAAAGGCGGCACCGUACGCGAAAGCAAAAUCUUUGGGUUCUGGGGGGAGUAUGAUCGCAAGGUUGAAACUUAAAGGAAUUGACGGAAGGGCACCAUCAGGCGUGGAGCCUGCGGCUCAAUUUGACUCAACUCGGGAAAACUCACCCGGCCCGGACACCGUAAGGAUUGACAGACUGAGAGCUCUUUCUUAAUUCGGUGGGUGGUGGUGCAUGGCCGUUCUUAGUUGGUGGAGCGAUUUGUCUGGUUAAUUCCGAUAACGAACGAGACUCUGGCCUAUUAAAUAGGCGAUAUAUUUAAAAGUAUAUCGCACUCCUUAGAGGGACAAGCGGCGUCUAGCCGCAUGAAAUAGAGCAAUAACAGGUCUGUGAUGCCCUUAGAUGUCCGGGGCUGCACGCGCGCUACACUGAAAGAAUCAGUGGGCGUUAUACCUAGCUCGGAAGAGCCGGGUAACCCAAGUAAAUUCUUUCGUGCUUGGGAUAGGGAAUUGCAAUUAUUUCCCUUAAACGAGGAAUUCCCAGUAAAUUCGGGUCAUAAGCUCGAGUUGAUUACGUCCCUGCCCUUUGUACACACCGCCCGUCGCUACUACCGAUUGGAUGACUUGGUGAGGUCUUAGGACUGAGGUGAAGGUGCCUGUAAUGGGUGCUUUUGCUUUGGAAAUUUGAUCAAACUACGUUAUCUAGAGGAAGUAA
rnacentral:rRNA from 1 species